AUGGAGACCGGGCCGGCUGGCUGCCUCAGCGCCCCUCCCAAGCCCACCUUGCUCGGCCUUCGGUCCAGCGUCCUCUGCCCUCCAGACUCAGGGCCCGGAGCUGAGCACCCGACUCUCUCCAGAGACGGCCCCAGGGAUGCCCCUGGCAGCAUGAGGGAGGCGGGCUGUGUCUCCCGAGGGCCCAAGCCUGUCCUAACGGAGCAGUGGGCCCCCCACCCCCGUCCUCUCCUCCCCUCCACGGCAGGGUCCCCGAAGGCGGCGCCCAGACAUGGGGGUGGCGCUGCCCCGGGGCCCAGCCCCGUUACCCUGUCAUAUGCAGCCACUCAGCCCGCCUGUUCUCCCUGUUUUGCAGACGACGGUGAACAAGGUCAGAGCAAAGCGCUUACCCACGUGUUUGGGCCUCAGUUUCCUCACGUGUCAGCUGCUCCCGGAGCGCUGGGCAGGCUGCCGGCUCAGACCCCUCUAGCAUUUUCGGUGACUCACUUAGACAACAGCCACUUGCGGGAAGUACUUAACAACAGUUGUUCAGGCUCCUGGGUGCUUCCCCAGGCCUGGGAGUUGGUGUGGGUCCGCGCACAGCACGGGCAAUGCUCUGGAAGAGGGGAGUCUCCACGGGGCCAAGAUGCCGCCCUCAGGGGAGGCGAGCCGGUCCCGCGGGGGGGGGGGGCUCGGAGCUCACGCCCGAGUGCGAGCAGGCGACUCCAGAGGGAGCUCGGGGUCAGGGCUGGAGUCCGGCCCAGGAACGGGACGCUGCUUUGCGGAAAGCACUUCAGAGAGAGGCAUGGCCAUCAGACACACCGAGCAUCCCCCCAUCCCCCCGGGAUGUUCUCCAGUCCCCAGCUCCCCGGCCCCCAUCCUGCUUCCGGGACUUGCUUUGCUCAAGGGAGAGACAGGAUGAGGAAAGGGCUGCGAGGGAGGCUGUGGGGACAGUCAGUGAGCCCAGCGCCCAGCUCUGCCUGCACCCCCCAGACCGCACGCUCACAAAGCGUCUGCUCCGUGUCGGGGACGGAGCCGGCUUCCCCACGAGUCUCCGGCCUCCUCCCGGCCUCCUCCCGGCCUCCCCACGAUGGGCCGGUCCUACGCCCACAUUGGAGAUGAGCGCCCCAAGGCCCAGCGAGGCACGGACACUAGAACCCACAUGCCCCGCCCCGUCAGCACUGCCCCCAUCUCUGCUGUGCCUGCCCAAGCCUGGGGAGGGUGGCACCGGAGGAGAGCCCGGCCUGCUGCCGGCCUCUGGCUGCGCUGGGCAGACUGGCCCCUCUGACCGGCUGGCCCGGCGCUGAGGACGGGCUGGGACCUCAAGUCAGAGCCGCUGGCAGGGGGCGGGCAGGGGGUCCCCGGCCGGUCCCUGGGGGCAGUGUGAGGACACACACUCCACGGCCCAGGGGACAGAAGCAAAGGCCGCAGGGUCUGAGGAGCCAGUGGCGGCCACGAGCUUCUGCCCUAGCCCAGCUCAGGUCUGCUUGGGGGGGGGGGGGGGGGGGGCUGACUCUCCCCUGCCCGGCCCCUCUGCUCAGGGCAGAAAGGUCGGGUCUGCUCAAAGCUAACAGCUUCGGUUUACUGACUCCAAACAUGUGGUCAGUUCAAGUGGAAAGAGCUGCGAGCUUGCACGUCGCACACAGUUGGAGAAUUUGGACUUGGGCUCCACGCAGGCGCCCGAAGACUCCCCUGGUGCCCAGCCUCGCCCGCCACACCCCGGCCUAAGCACGGAAGGGGCGCAGAGGGGGCACAGAGGGGGCGCCCUUAGAGGCAAAGGGUCUGAGGCUGGGCUGGAGGCCCCCCUGGAACCUGACCUCAGCGCCAGGUGAGCCCCUGAGCAGAGCCCCCAGCCCGCACGCCAUCUCUUUAGGUAGCGGCCAAGUCAGGCCACGCCCAGCGCCCCCCGCGCCCCCAGCACCCCCCAGUCC
rnacentral:lncRNA from 1 species